GAUGAACGCUGGCGGCGUGCCUAAUACAUGCAAGUCGAGCGAACAGACGAGGAGCUUGCUCCUUUGACGUUAGCGGCGGACGGGUGAGUAACACGUGGGUAACCUACCUAUAAGACUGGGAUAACUUCGGGAAACCGGAGCUAAUACCGGAUAAUAUUUCGAACCGCAUGGUUCGAUAGUGAAAGAUGGCUUUACUAUCACUUAUAGAUGGACCUGCGCCGUAUUAGCUAGUUGGUAAGGUAACGGCUUACCAAGGCAACGAUACGUAGCCGACCUGAGAGGGUGAUCGGCCACACUGGAACUGAGACACGGUCCAGACUCCUACGGGAGGCAGCAGUAGGGAAUCUUCCGCAAAGGGCGAAAGCCUGACGGAGCAACGCCGCGUGAGUGAUGAAGGUCUUCGGAUCGUAAAACUCUGUUAUUAGGGAAGAACAAACGUGUAAGUAACUGUGCACGUCUUGACGGUACCUAAUCAGAAAGCCACGGCUAACUACGUG
rnacentral:rRNA from 1 species